UACGAAGGGGCUAGCGUUGUUCGGAAUUACUGGGCGUAAAGCGCACGUAGGCGGAUAUUUAAGUCAGGGGUGAAAUCCCAGAGCUCAACUCUGGAACUGCCUUUGAUACUGGGUAUCUUGAGUAUGGAAGAGGUAAGUGGAAUUGCGAGUGUAGAGGUGAAAUUCGUAGAUAUUCGCAGGAACACCAGUGGCGAAGGCGGCUUACUGGUCCAUAACUGACGCUGAGGUGCGAAACGUGGG
rnacentral:rRNA from 1 species